rnacentral:rRNA from 1 species
AUUGAACGCUGGCGGCAUGCCUAACACAUGCAAGUCGAACGAGUGGCGGACGGGUGAGUAAUGUCUGGGAAACUGCCUGAUGGAGGGGGAUACCUACUGGAAACGGUAGCUAAUACCGCCUACCAUCAGCUGUGCCCAGAUGGGAUUAGGUUGUUGGGUGGGUAACGGCUCACCAAGGCGACGAUCCCUAGCUGGUCUGAGAGGAUGACCAGCCACACUGGGACUGAGACACGGCCCAUACUCCGACGGGAGGCAGCAGUGGGGAAUAUUGGACAAUGGGCGCAAGCCUGAUGCAGCCAUGCCGCGUGUGUGAAGAAGGCCUUCGGGUUGUAAAGUACUUUCAGCGGGGAGGCGUUACCCGCAGAAGAAGCACCGGCUAACUCCGUGCCAGCCGCCGCGGUAAUUC